rfam:Dipodomys ordii contig_60869, whole genome shotgun sequence.
GGGAAGUUGGCUCAGUGGUAGAGUGCUUGCCUUGCAAGCAUGAGGCCAUAGGUUCGAUUCCUCAGCACCACA